AUUGAACGCUGGCGGCAGGCCUAACACAUGCAAGUCGAGCGGAUGAAGGGAGCUUGCUCCUGGAUUCAGCGGCGGACGGGUGAGUAAUGCCUAGGAAUCUGCCUGGUAGUGGGGGAUAACGUCCGGAAACGGGCGCUAAUACCGCAUACGUCCUGAGGGAGAAAGUGGGUGAGCGUCGGACCUCACGCUAUCAGAGGGGCCUAGGUCGGAUUAGAUAGUUGGUGGGUUAAAGGCCUACCAAGGCGAGUAUCCGUAACUGGUCUGAGAGGAUGAUCAGUCACACUGGAAGUGAGACACGGUCCAGACUACUGAGGGAGGCAGCAGUGGGGAAUAUUGGACAAUGGGCGAAAGCCUGAUCCAGCCAUGCCGAGUGUGUGAAGAAGGUGUUCGGAUUGUAAAGCACUUUAAGUUGGGAGGAAGGGCAGUAAGUUAAUACCUUGCUGUUUUGACGUUACCAACAGAAUAAGCACCGGCUAACUUCGUG
rnacentral:rRNA from 1 species